AAUCCGAUAAGCUGGCACCGGUAGGCCGUGUGAUCGUCACCGGCGAAUAGGGGAUCGCGCGUAUAAAAACGUACGCGUUAUGCGUACCUGUCCGUCCAAUGGGGUGGCUUCGCGAACCGGAAAGGGGGAAGAUCGAACUGGAUUAUCGAGCGGCGAACCAUGGAACGAGGUACGAAAACGUAGGGGGGAGGGAAGAAGACGAUGAAAAAGUGAAGAAGCAGAGAGGCAAGAAUCGACAAGAAGCACGGUUCGAGAACGCACUGGGGAAAACGAAACGAAGAGGACGAGCCGGUUCGAUCGAGCAUCCAUUGGAAUCGAAUUGAUAUUUAAAAGUCAUCGUUACUGUACGUGAGGAACGCUGUUAAAAGAAGAAAAAGAAAAUUGAAUCUCAAUGCGUCCUGUAUUGUACUCGAAAGAGCAAGAAUCGCCGGUCCAUACGAAAUGAAGACUAAAGAGUGCAACGAAUGAGAAUGGAUUCUUCUUAGAGAGCCACACCCUGGCGCACAGGUUAAAAAAAGCAAGAAGAACAGACGACGAUCGAUCGAUGUUAGCUCGAGACGACCGGUUUUCGAUAGAAACAAAGAACAUGAAAUUUGCAUGAAGAAACCAGCUCUUGUGAGAAACAACGGAGUAAGAUGAAGGGGGGGAGGAGGAGGAGAGAAAGGCGAGUGUGGCGAGAAAUUAUAAUAAGGAAUCGAUUGUCGAUCGAUUUGCUCUGUUUUCGAGGCUGGACGAGUAUUCAUCCACCUACGGAAUGGUCGAGUGUACAAGUCGAAAUCGCGGGUAGGAAGGUCGGCCAUCAGGAAUUCCACGCACGGCCUCCACCUUCGUUUCUCCCGCCAACGAAUCGUGUCUUCUCCCCCUUGUCUCAUUUCGCCAGAGAACACAACCAGAUAACCGGACGUAAUAAACACACGGACAUAAUUAUUCGGACACUGUAGUCCCUUCGACUUGUACACUUGGGAUACUUGGCUUACAAUGAUAAUUUCAGUCUUUUAAUUAUACAGUGUUUUAGAAAUUCUACAAAGUAUACCAAAACAUAUAGGGAGAAACGAAUGGAAUAAUUUAAAUAAAUAUACAUUUACAAUU